CGCGUAGGCGGUUAUUUAAGUCAGAGGUGAAAACUCUGGGCUCAACUCAGAGCCUGCCUCUGAAACUGGGUGACUUGAGGGCAGGAGAGGGGAGUGGAAUUCCCAGUGUAGCGGUGAAAUGCGUAGAUAUUGGGAGGAACACCAGUGGCGAAGGCGACUCUCUGGCCUGUUACUGACGCUGAGGCGCGAAAGCGUGGGGAUCAAACA
rnacentral:rRNA from 1 species